GUGUUGAAACUUCCAGGGAACAACAUCUUCAUACUUGUGGGGCUCAAUAUGCUGAUAAUGCGAGUCAAUGCACAAAUCCAAUAAUAACACCUAAAAGGCUAAAACCUUGACACCGGGCCCCUUCCUUGCAGAGCCAUAUGUAGCCUUCUUUAUGCACAAAUGUAAUCUAUAGUGGUUCUUUGCCACAUUAAACAUGUGUUACUCCUAAGCUUUCACUGGUACCUGUUUCUUUGUCCAUCGCCUAUUUUACCCAACAGGCAAGCUUUAAUUGGUGGAAUCGUGAAUCCCUUUAUCCCAAUCUUGCCAUGACCACCAUGACAUUGUCAUGUUUGCUACCCCAUCUGGCAUGUAUACGUUGGAGUGGUAACAUGGCAUUUACAGCUUUUCGCAUCUAUUGACUGAUCUGUUUUAAUAAUUUAUCCAUUUUGUGAACAUGCAGGUGAAGAGCUACUGGUUGAACUCUGAUGGUGCAGAUGUGGUCUUCCAUAUGAUUGAUAAUUUUCUUAUCUAGUCUUCUGAUAAAUUUUGCGGUUCUCAAUUGGCAGGCCACAAACUCAUUCUGGUGUGUAGAACACUGAUGCAAGUACAUUUAUUCUAAAAAUCUCGACCUUGUAGAUAAAUAAUUGUCCUGUGUAUUAGUUGCGCAAUUUUGAUUUGGUUAUAAUUCUUCAUUCAUACACCGCCUAGGGAAUCUGGUAACAAGAAACUGUAGAUUUUCUUAGUAGGUGGAAUUAUCUUGUAAUAGAAUUCAUCAUUUUAUAUCUUAGGAAGAAAUUUCCUACAAGUGACUCCAGCUCCCCUGGCAUCAUGAAUGAAAGCCAUUUCAUAUUUUUUUAUUUAAUACCGCCAUUGUCAUGUGGACACUGUAUGAGGCUUUAACCUAAUUAGCAUGGCGCUGGCAACUAAAAUGUGGUAUUGAAGGUGUGUGCUCUGUAUUCAUUUUAUAUCUUAGGAAGAAAUUUCCUACAAGUGCCUCCAGCUCCCCUGGCAUCAUGAAUGAAAGCCAUUUCAUGUUUUUUUAUUUAAUACCGCCAUUGUCAUGUGGACACUGUAUGAGGCUUUAACCUAAUUAGCAUGGGGCUGGCAACUAAAAUGUGGUAUUGAAGGUGUGUGCUCUGUA
rnacentral:lncRNA from 1 species